GGUCUGGGGUCACCGCUCAGCGGUUGGGGUCUCCCUUUAGAGCCUUGGGGGUCUGUGGGUCUUGCAUGCAUGGGUCCAUCCUCGGGACCUGAGGAGCUCGCGUUUCUGAGGUCUGUGCUUGGGGAUUUGGGGCCUUAGGGGCCCUUUGGGUCUGUGGUCCGGACGUCCUCGGGUUGGGGGUCCUGGGUUGCAUCAGGGUCUCUCGUCCGCGCUCCGUCGUUGGGGUCCACCCUCGCGGGUCUCGAGGGCCGUAGGGCGUCGGGUUGGGGUCUGCUCUCAGGGGCCUGGGGAGCCUGCACCUCUGGGGUGCGUUCGGGUGUGUGGGUGCUUGCGGGAAUGGAGUCUGCGCCCAGGGCUUUGGGGUAUCAGGCACCUCCGGUCUGGGGUCUGCGUUUGGGGGUCUGGGGGGUCCUCGGGCCUGGAUUUAGCCCUUGGGAGUCUCGGGUUUGCGCCGAGGGUUCCGGGUUCUCCCGCAGCCCACAGGUCCCCCUCUGUGUCUCAGUGUCAUGAGCCGCGGGACCUGGUGCGGUGCGUGGGGGGGACCUGGGUGGCGGUGGGGCGAGCCGUGGCGGUUCUGCUGUGACCGUAGGGCUGCAAGGGGAGUGGAGCACAGGUAGGGCUCGAAGGCGCUGUCAGGUGGGAAUUGGUAGGUGCAUUCUGUGAUGAGGGGCCGGGUGUGGAGCCUGUGCGUGUGAAAGCCGGUUGAGGGUUGUUUUGGAGGGAGUUAAGGUCAGAGUGCAUACGGGCUCAAGGAGUUGGUGGUUCGCUGUUUGGGGGAGUAUGAUGCAUGUGGAUUUCCCCCCAUGACUUGGGGACCUGUGUGAGUAACGGCAAAUUCGGGAAGAUUAUGUGCAUGUGAGGAGGGGCGUGUUUGGAGAGGUGCCUGCCUGUAUUCGUUUAGGUAUACUGGUUUUGUAUAUGUGGGCGAUGUAGGGGGAUCAUUUGUGUAUUAAGAGCUUGUUGCAUGGUUCUGUGUAUUCCAUUUUCUGAUUGUCAGGAGCCCUGUUUGUAUUUUGGUGUGCAGAGGGAAAGCCAGUGACUAUUUUAUGGCACUGGCAGAUGCUUCAUAUGCCAGUGUGAUGUGGUUUUGUAUGAAUCUGUAUCGUCCAAGACGGAAGAGUUGAUUCUGUGUGAGAAUUCAGGGGUGUGAGGUCAUGUAGGUGCAGGUCACGUGGUGUUAUAGGUGUAUGUGAAACAGGGUGUGGGUGAUGUGUUAGCAUAGUUGUGUACCGGAUUAUUGUAGGUAUAAUUGGGGCUUGUGGAGGGAUGUGUGUCUUUAUUCGAGGGGCAUGGUCAUUUGAAGGAGUAUUUGCUGGGGCCAUGUGUUUGUACUUUUAGGAGGGAGCCAUUAGGCUUACUUAUGUAUUUUGGGAAGUGAGUAGGUCUGUAUCUGAUGGGGAGAUAGGGCUCUGUUUAUAGGGGAGUGGGAGAAUUAUAUUUCUGUGUAUUAGAAGUACGUGAUAUGGUUAUUCGUAUUUGCAGAUGUGAGAGCUGGCUGCUACUCAUCAGGGACAGUUUGGCAUUUGGAAGUUGCUUCAUGAACGGAUUGCUGGAGAUGUUCCUAUGUGUCUUGUGUAUAUAGGCUGGUUUGUGUAUAUAUAUCCGUCACCAACUGCAUGAAUUAUCAAAGUUUAUUCAUAGGGCAUGAAGUUGUUAGGAGUAUUUAAAGCGUAUUUCUUUGGAUAAGACUAGUGUGUUUCUAUAUGUGUCUGAUAGGUCAGAAUGAGGAUAAAAAUGUUCACGUAUGUUCAGGAGAAUGAUAUGUGUGUAUAUAUGAGUGUAUGUAUAGACAUGUGGUUUUUGUGUGUGUGUGUAUCUGGGGUGUGAGUUGAGUUUCUACUCAGGGUACAGGUGGACUGUGUGCACAUAUUUGCAUGGAAGGGGAUGGGGUGUGCUAGAACUGGCUCAUACUAACUUGGCAAGGUCAGUGGCGCAUAUCUAUUCUAAUUCUGUUUAGUGAUGUUAGAUAGGUAGCUUGAAAUUAGUCAUGCUGGGAAUAUUUAUACCAGGUAAAAACCUCAGAUGAAAGUUUUCCCCACCUUCCUCUGAGAGCCUUUAUUAAGCAUUUACCAGCACACCACUGGUGUGUUUGUGUCUGUCUGAAGCAGGCACCGUUGGGUGUGUAUAUGGGUGUCUCUGAAUUGUGAAUGGGGCAUCCAGAGCUUUGGGUCCUUGUGUGUGUGCAUUGACUCUGGUCAUUUUGAACCAUUGCGUUACUCCUAAUCAGGCUGGCCUCUUCUUUAAGGCCAAAGAACCCCCCAUAAAUUUGAUGAUUUCCAGUUCUUCAUGCAGAUGGGUUCAGAGGCAUCUGUAUGUUAGGCAAGUGGACACUCCUCCAGCAUUUAUGGUCUUGGCAUUUGGGUCCCAAGAUGGAUAGGCCUGGUGGACUGUGGCUGUGCAGAGCAGAACUUUUGCAAGUAUGUUGGGUGGCACGUGUCAGGUUGUGUGACAGACAGUAUUCAGAACAUUGUAGGGAUUCCUAGACAGAAGUCCAGAGGGCAUGCUCUCCCAGGCAAGCCCUUGCAAGUCACCUUGGCAGCUAUAGGUAUAGCUCUCUUUUUGGAACAUGAUUGGUAGGCAAGGACACCCUCCACACAGGGUCCAGGAGGUUCAAGAUGCUCCUAGGGCUGGGAAGCUCAUCACAGUUUCAUGUUUCUCGGAGGGGAUGACCCUUUCUCUCUGUCCAUGUGGAGCUGCAAACCCACCAGAGGGAGCCAUGUGAUUCAUGUGGUCACCAGCUGACCACAUAGCUGCCUCCUGCCUCCCACCUCCCUUGGACAACCCACCCAGCAUUUCUGGGCCUUCGUUAUGGGCAGCCAUUCCCCUAGGAUGGUCUGUGGUCCUCUUACGCUUACCUGGACAGGUCUGGGAGUAUCACAUCUGGUGGCUGGAUGCAGGGUGGGGCUGACACCCCACAGGAGUGGGUAUCCUGUCCUCAGUGGGGUGGCUAGGAGGUCAGGGUUUCUCCUCCAGGGCGUCACAUUUGAUCAGUCCUCUCCAGAAUGUGCGAACAGAGCUGACCCAUUGGAUAGACUCUGCCAGGAGAGUAGUAGACCUGAGGACAGUUCCCGAGAGAGAAAUCUGGUUUCUUCCUUGAGUGGCUCCCACUACAGGGCCCUUCUCAGAAUGCUUCCGGAGCUCUUUAAGGAGUGCCUUCCUGACCGAGCUCUGCCCUGUUACUCCCUUGGCCCUCAUCCUGCUUCAGUAUCCUGCAGUGUUGUGCUCUCUCAAGACUAACGACCUGUGAGCCUGCUGCCUCGUGGCACACAUGUUCUUUAAGGAUGGGACCACUGAGUCUUCAUUACCUCCUUCCAGGACACAUCCAAGGCCUGACCACUGUCUGCUCCUAUCACUGUCAGGCAGAAUAAAUUAAGCCAGGUAACACAGGACACAGGGCACCCUGCAAAGUUCCAAACACAAAUGUUGUUCAGGGAAAAAGUAAACUCCUACGGCUCAUAGUUCAAGUGCAAUGAAACAGGCAUGAAAUAUAAGUUAAAACAGACUGGGUGUAAAAUUAUGAGUGCCUGGUGAUCUUUAGAAUGCAGCAUGUUUCCCGUGACCCAGAUAUUGACAGCCAAAACGGUUGAGGGAAGAGUAGACCCAGCGUGAGUGCCCAGCUGUGUUCAUCAGGCUCCAUAGAGAAUGUGAAUUUGCAUCACUUAGUUUCUAGCAGGUGGGCAGCCACGGUGGCGCAGCGGUUUAGUGCUGCCUGCAGCCCAGGG